UUCCGCACGUCCUCGUUCCACACGCUCACGCCGAUGGAGCCAGUGGCCCCCCGUCCGGACACGCCGAGGCUCACGGCAUCUCCCUGGCUUCUCGUCUGAACCCGCCCCAGAUUCAUCACUUCUCCAGCAGUUUUUAUAGUGACAUGAAUGGUGUCAUGACAAUUCAAGCAAAACCGCUUCAGCGGAGACCUGCCUAUUUUGCUGACAGAACGCAGAAUGAGAAGGAGGACAAAGCAUCGGGUGGAGGGGCAGGUGCUCUCUCCUCCGCACCGCACAGACUGGGACGGGCCUCAGACACUCAUGGAUUAUCACCUUCUGCAAAGAAAACACCAGUGCCCUGGAGGCUGCCUUCUCUUGCUUCAGAUUCACAGAGACUAAAAACUCCCAACAUCUAUAGUGACGAAGUUCUUCGGGGAACAAAACUAGGAAGGCAUCUACAAAACCGUGUGUUGAGUGCCAUGCCUGACGGUACAGAACGAUCGCGUCUUCGAGAAAGAACAGCCACCCUGGAACGGUUGUCAAGGCCCAGCACAACCCACACGUUCCGGCAGUCGGAUACGCCUCGAAAAAGUUCAUUGACACAAAUGGAAUUUGCUGCUCACACAUGGACAGGUCAAAGUAUUUUGACAGGUCAGCUUUUCUCCAUAUGUAAAUAAAGUGAUGUAGUAAGUGAGAUUUCAAGUUUCAGACAGUGAAAUGGAAGAUGAUCUACCUUGAUAAGCCUAUUUUGCUGUAGGAGGGAAUAGCAAAUGUUUGGGGCCUGUGGCCUGACCUCAGAAACCUCGAUCACAGAGCACACCUGCAGAGACUUACUUACCUGCUGUGAGGUCAAGAAGAGGGGAAUGUCCAAAAGCUCUCAAUGAACUGGGGGCCUCAC
rnacentral:lncRNA from 1 species